rnacentral:lncRNA from 1 species
AUGUGUUUUUCCUUUGUUACCUGUUCCUUUGGUGUCUUGUAGGGAGAUCUGAGUUAUAACAAAAAUGACUACAGUUAAUGCCUUACCUAAAACUGAGGCCAAGCAGAAGAAAUAAGUUCUCAGCUCAUCUGAAAUCCCAACCCAACUCCCUGGCUGUCUGCCCUAGGACAGAUAUAAAAAUGUGCCACAAUAUUUAG